GAUGAACGCUGGCGGCGUGCCUAACACAUGCAAGUCGAGCGAACAGAUGCGGCUUUUGCUCGUCUGACGUUAGCGGCGGGCGGGUGAGUCACACGUGUAUAACCCACCUAUAAGUCUGGUAUCACUUCGGGACUCCGGAUCUAACACCGGAUAAUAUAUUGAACCGCAUUGUUCAUUAGAGAAUGACGGUUUUGCUGUCACUUCUAGCUGGUUCUGCGCCGCAUUAGCUAGUUGGUAAGGUAACGGCUUACCAAGGCAACGAUGCGUAGCCGACCUGAGAGGGUGAUCGGCGACACUGGAACUGAGACACGGUCCAGACUCCUACGGGAGGCAGCAGUAGGGAAUCGUCCGCAAUGGGCGAAAGCCUGACGGAGCAACGCCGCGUGAGUGAUGAAGGUCUUCGGAUCGUAAAGCUCUGUUACUAGGGAAGAACAAAUGUGUAAGUAACUAUGCACGUCUUGACGGUACCUAGUAAGGAAGCAACGGCUAACUACGUG
rnacentral:rRNA from 1 species